AGGUAAGGGCAUCUGGUGAAUGCCUUGGCAUGUACAGGCGAUGAAGGACGUGGCACGCUGCGAUAAGCGUGGGGGAGCCGUGAGCAGGCUUUGAUCCCGCGAUUUCCGAAUGGGAUAACCCACCUUCACCAUUUAAUCUUUGGUUCCCCGCCUUGGCGAGGACUAAAGGUUAAAUGGGAGAGGUAUCACUAAGCUGAAUAAAAUAGGCUUUGGUGAAGCGAACCCGGAGAACUGAAACAUCUCAGUA
rnacentral:rRNA from 1 species